AGGUGUUUGUUCUGGACUUCCCCCCGCGUCUGAACAAACCCGUGGGCCUGCAGGAUCUGCUGCGUCAGGAGCACCACCGCGUCGCAGCACGCAUGGGUCUCCCAUUCGUGGCUGUGACCAGCAGCUUCCUGCUGGAUCGGUUGGAGCUGUGGUGUUAUGACGGCGUGCACCUCAGCGACACAGGUGGCUCGCCCAUCCUGGUGGAGCUGUUGUGCGACGCUGCGCUCACCCUGUUCGCACCCGAUCCCCCUGCACCUCCUUCCCCUGGUCUGAAGGACUGCCUGGAUCCCCGGACGUGGCCC